rnacentral:rRNA from 1 species
GAUGAACGCUGGCGGCGUGCCUAAUACAUGCAAGUCGAGCGAACAGAUAAGGAGCUUGCUCCUUUGACGUUAGCGGCGGACGGGUGAGUAACACGUGGGUAACCUACCUAUAAGACUGGAAUAACUCCGGGAAACCGGGGCUAAUGCCGGAUAACAUGUUGAACCGCAUGGUUCUACAGUGAAAGGCGGCUUUGCUGUCACUUAUAGAUGGACCCGCGCCGUAUUAGCUAGUUGGUGGGGUAACGGCUCACCAAGGCAACGAUACGUAGCCGACCUGAGAGGGUGAUCGGCCACACUGGAACUGAGACACGGUCCAGACUCCUACGGGAGGCAGCAGUAGGGAAUCUUCCGCAAUGGGCGAAAGCCUGACGGAGCAACGCCGCGUGAGUGAUGAAGGUCUUCGGAUCGUAAAACUCUGUUAUUAGGGAAGAACAAAUGCGUAAGUAACUGUGCGCGUCUUGACGGUACCUAAUCAGAAAGCCACGGCUAACUACGUG